AUGCUGGGCGCCGCGAGGAGAUCCGGAUGCGUGCUGGGGCAACUGAUGCAGACCCUCCGCCCGGCGGCAACGGCGGCGAGGAGCUACUCCGCGACCCCGAAGGAGAUGACUGUGCGUGAAGCAUUGAAUUCCGCUCUUGACGAGGAGAUGUCUGCCGACCCUUCUGUUUUCUUAAUGGGAGAAGAGGUUGGAGAGUACCAAGGUGCGUACAAGAUAACAAAGGGUUUGCUGGACAAGUAUGGUCCCGACAGGGUUCUCGAUACACCAAUCACAGAGGCUGGUUUUACUGGCAUUGGCGUUGGUGCUGCCUACCAAGGUCUUAGACCUGUAGUAGAGUUCAUGACAUUUAACUUCUCGAUGCAGGCAAUUGAUCACAUCAUCAAUUCAGCUGCCAAAUCAAACUACAUGUCAGCUGGUCAGAUAUCCGUUCCUAUUGUUUUUCGAGGACCAAAUGGGGCAGCUGCUGGAGUUGGUGCUCAACACUCGCAGUGCUAUGCAGCAUGGUAUGCCCAUGUUCCAGGAUUGAAGGUCCUAACUCCCUAUUCUGCAGAAGAUGCUCGAGGCUUGCUAAAAGCAGCAAUCAGGGAUCCAGACCCUGUUGUUUUCCUGGAAAAUGAACUACUCUAUGGUGAAUCGUUUCCUAUUAAGGCUGAAGUACUUGAUUCUAGCUUCAGUGUCCCAAUUGGCAAAGCUAAGAUAGAACGGGAAGGAAAAGAUGUUACAAUUACUGCAUUCUCUAAGAUGGUUGGGUAUGCUCUUCAGGCUGCAGAGAUACUGUCCAAGGAGGGAAUCAGUGCUGAGGUGAUCAACCUUCGGUCAAUUAGACCAUUGGAUAGAGCUGCUAUCAAUGCAUCCGUUAGGAAAACCAACAGAUUGGUUACCGUUGAAGAAGGCUUUCCACAACAUGGUGUUGGUGCUGAAAUAUGCAUGUCCGUAGUGGAGGACAGCUUUGAGUAUCUUGAUGCACCAGUUGAGAGGAUUGCCGGAGCUGAUGUACCGAUGCCCUAUGCGGCAAACCUUGAAAGAUUGGCAGUUCCACAGGUUGAGGACAUCGUCCGUGCAGCAAAGCGAGCUUGCUACAGAUCAUCAUCCAUGGCGGCAAACGCCUAA
rnacentral:rRNA from 1 species